rnacentral:rRNA from 1 species
UACGUAGGGUGCGAGCGUUAAUCGGAAUUACUGGGCGUAAAGCGUGCGCAGGCGGUUCGUUAAGUUCGAUGUGAAAGCCCCGGGCUCAACCUGGGAAUGGCGAUGGAUACUGGCUCGCUAGAGUGCGGUAGAGGAGAGUGGAAUUCCCGGUGUAGCAGUGAAAUGCGUAGAGAUCGGGAGGAACAUCAGUUGCGAAGGCGGCUCUCUGGACCAGCACUGACACUGAGGCACGAAAGCGUGGGGAGCGAACAGG